UUCUCAUAGAAAAUGGUCUAAUUUCACACUUUUUUUUAAAAACUAUAGACCACAUGGGCCAUUAUAUUGAAAACAAAAUCUGUACAAACAAAAAUGAUCAGACCACACAGCCAAAUCCCAAAAUAAACAAAAGAAAACAAAAAAAAAUCAAAUUAGGAAAGUGGGAAAGGAUGAACAAAUCCAGAAGACCAAGAGCCAACCAAUGGUCUCACUUAGCUCCGGUCUCGGAGCUCAUGUUCGGAGGCCCCUCGUCAUCAAUGAUUGUGAACUUUCAUACCAAAUGAACUCAGAGCUAAGAAUCCACAACCGAGGAUAUUAGUUCCCUUUUCUUAGAUCUAUCCUUCAAUGGGUUGAAUCCCACAAAUGAGAUUGAUACCACCAUCGAGUAUUAGAUCCUUAAAAGAUUAACUGAUUUUUUGGGGUAGUGCGGGGGACCUGGAGCUGCAUUUGCCGUUUACAAGCUUCUUGUUCAGCUGCUCAACCCGCUUUUCGAUGAAUCUACAUCUCUUCUUCAGUAGCCAAAAAGAGAUCCAACAUGCUAAGGAUGAUUUCCAAUAGAAGCUAGUGUGUUGGUAUGGUACUAAUGGGCACCCCAAGCUCUCACCAGGUGUAAGUACUCAGAUCAAAUGAAUUUACUUCAGACAGUAGCUUAGUCAAUAUAGAAAUUUUUCUUUAGCUUGUCGAAUCUGCUAGUCACCAAUAAAAGGAUAAUGGAAACUGAUAGUUAAAAACUUGUAUGAUCUGUUAUUCCUGGAUUUGCCUCCUUAUGUAUGGUGUUCCAAAUUUGUCUAAAUUGAGUAUCUUCUUUCCUUCA